AGUGAACGCUGGCGGUAGGCCUAACACAUGCAAGUCGAACGGCAGCACAGUAAGAGCUUGCUCUUACGGGUGGCGAGUGGCGGACGGGUGAGGAAUACAUCGGAAUCUACUUUUUCGUGGGGGAUCACGUAGGGAAACUUACGCUAAUACCGCAUACGACCUACGGGUGACAGCAGGGGAUCUUCGGACCUUGCGCGAUUGAAUGAGCCGAUGUCGGAUUAGCUAGUUGGCGGGGUAAAGGCCCACCAAGGCGACGAUCCGGAGCUGGUCUGAGAGGAUGAUCAGCCAGACUGGAACUGAGACACGGUCGAGACUCCUACGGGAGGCAGCAGUGGGGAAUAUUGGACAAUGGGCGCAAGCCUGAUCCAGCCAGACCGCGUGGGUGAAGAAGGCCUUCGGGUUGUAAAGCCCUUUUGUUGGGAAAGAAAAGCAGCAGGUUAAUACCCCGCUGUUCUGACGGUACCCAAAGAAUAAGCACCGGCUAACUUCGUG
rnacentral:rRNA from 1 species